ensembl:lncRNA
AAAAAACAGAAAAACAUCAAAUCAACUGAUAGAAGUGGCUGGAACUGAUUUGGGGUACUUUCAUCCUUCCCCAUGGAGAUUUAUCAUCUUUACAUGGCCAAUUCAAAAAGGAAUCCUUUGACUCUGAAUAUCUUUUAUACUCACUCCCACUCCUUCCGGCGGGCUUGCGGCGUGCUCUGUAUUUUGUGAGCCUGGUGGGCCAUGAUGAUGUCCUUUUGUUCCACGAGCCCCCCGCGCCGUCGCAGCAUGCCGUGGGGGCUCAGAGACCCCGAGCCCUGGUCGGACGAGCCCUCUUCCCGACCACAAGGCACAUCAAAGCUGGCUGCUCGAGGGGGCAACCCCAGGCAUUCAGGGACGGCAUGAGGGACCUGCAGGGAGGAGGAGCGAGCUCCCUGUGCCAGGCCAGGACGGGAGGCAGAGCUGGAUUUCCGCCAGGGCUCAGGUUCAGGGAGAGACAGGGAGGACUGGAUGUGUGUCUCCCCCCGCCGACCACAGCUGGAGGGAGAGUGGAGGUUGGGUGAAAGGGAGAGGGAGAGGGACUGGUCUGAACUGGUGAGCAUCUCUACAGAA